AAAACUUUAAGUUAAAUUAAACUCAUAAUCUUCAAAAUUAUAAAUAAAAAAAAUUUUUAAGUUUUA
rnacentral:tRNA from 1 species